CAGCAGCCACGGUAAUUCGAAGGGUGCAAGCGUUAAUCGGAAUUACUGGGCGUAAAGCGUGCGUAGGCGGUUUGUUAAGUCUGUUGUGAAAUCCCCGGGCUCAACCUGGGAAUGGCAAUGGAUACUGGCAAGCUAGAGUGUGUCAGAGGAUGGUGGAAUUCCCGGUGUAGCGGUGAAAUGCGUAGAUAUCGGAAGGAACACCUGUGGUGAAAGCGGCUCACUGGACCAUUUCUGACGCUGAUGCACGAAAGCUAGGGGAGCAAACAGGAUUAGAGACCCCCGUAGUCCCUGUCUCUUAUAC
rnacentral:rRNA from 1 species